UACGUAGGCAGCAAGCGUUGUUCGGAGUUACUGGGCGUAAAGAGUGUGUAGGCGGUUUUCUAAGUUUGGGGUGAAAUCUCCCGGCUUAACUGGGAGGGUGCGCCGAAGACUGGAAGGCUUGAGUAUGGGAGAGGAAAGCGGAAUUCCUGGUGUAGCGGUGAAAUGCGUAGAUAUCAGGAGGAACACCUGUGGCGAAAGCGGCUCACUGGACCAUAACUGACGCUGAUGCACGAAAGCUAGGGGAGCAAACAGG
rnacentral:rRNA from 1 species